GGUGAUUGUAGCUCAGUUGGUUAGAGCGCUAGUUUGUGGCACUAGAGGCCGCCGGUUCGAAUCCGGUCUUUCACCC
rnacentral:tRNA from 1 species